UUCUUAUCAAGAGAAGCUGAGGGACUGGCCCGAGGAAGCUUCAGCAACCAGCUGUAAAGUCAGGUGCUAAAUCCAGCCGGCAAAUUGCCGAAAGAUGAGAA
rnacentral:ncRNA from 2 species